UACGGGGGGGGCAAGCGUUGUCCGGAAUUACUGGGCGUAAAGGGCUCGUAGGUGGCCAACUAAGUCAGACGUGAAAUCCCUCGGCUUAACCGGGGAACUGCGUCUGAUACUGGAUGGCUUGAGUUUGGGAGAGGGAUGCGGAAUUCCAGGUGUAGCGGUGAAAUGCGUAGAUAUCUGGAGGAACACCGGUGGCGAAGGCGGCAUCCUGGACCAACACUGACACUGAGGAGCGAAAGCCAGGGGAGCAAACGGG
rnacentral:rRNA from 1 species